CUGCAAAACAUACCAACAGAUGUUAAUGAAGCUGAAUGGAAAUUCUUGGUAGACUACUUCAGCUCUGAUGAUUUUAAGAAAAUGAGUGAAAGAAACAAAAAUAACAAGGCAAAACAAGAAGUGAAUCAUAUUUGCGGCAGAAAAACUUUUCAAGCAGUGUCUUAUGAAGCGAGGGACACAACCACCGGAAAAGAGCCGAAUUUUC